GUGAGUGCACACAGGGCAGUUGGAUCUGAAUAGAGCUCUGGUAAUGAAAGAGUCGCAAAGAUAUAUGAUUCUGGGGUGUAGAUGUCAUUGCUCCCACAGCCUGAGUACAUCUACACCUUCAGUCGUGCAACUAAGGUGACGUGCAGGGAAUUUUAUUCCUGUACUCCCCAGUGUUGGGGCUCCCAACAGGAUUUCCUUGCUAAACAAUGUCAAACUGAGGCAGGCAUGGGAUGAAAGUCCUCACAGAAGCAUGUGAGGUGGUGCCAAAUGUUUUACAGGUGAUGGUGUUGUUGUUUGUGAGCAAGAGCGGAGGUGGUGCUGGGAAGGGUGUGAUGCUGUGCUGGCUCAGAUGAGCUAGGAAAACCAGGUCAUUAGGGAUGCUGGGCUGCUCUGUGUUCAAGAAGAGCUGUGUGUUUGGCAGCAUAAGGAAGGUUUCAAAGCUAAGCUGCAUGCACAGCUCCACAGCCUCGCCUGGACUUUCUUCUUAAAGAUCUGGAAGCUUCGUGCAAAGCAUCAUUUUUCAAAGGAGUCAGUGUCUCACCACCAUUCAGGUACCUGGUGGUCCCCAGUCUCACCCAGAUGCUUGCUGAACCAUUUGUCCUUGGGGAUCACUGCAGAACUCUGGCAGCCCAAUGCAGAACUCUUCCUCACUGACCCUGCCACGCAGGACAAGGAGUGGCAGAGAGCCCUGACUGCAGCAGCUCUGCCUAUGGGACUGCACAGCAGAACUGCAGUUUCUCCCUCGGCUUCUCCAGUUUGGCUAUGCACAAAUUACUUUGUCAUUGUGGUGAAACAAAUAAGGCUUCAUUAUCAUUACCAUCCUGACGGGAGUAAACAAGUUUAUUUACACUUGAGCACUACUGAAGAAUAAAGUCAUAGAGGAAAGUU
rnacentral:lncRNA from 1 species